rfam:Myotis davidii contig109845, whole genome shotgun sequence.
GGCGGUUUUUGGGUGAUGCACCCCGGAAUUGGGCUCUCUCUUCUUUGGUUCUGGGGUGCAUCACCUGAGAACCACU